GACGAACGCUGGCGGCGUGCUUAACACAUGCAAGUCGAACGGAAAGGCCCUGCUUUUGUGGGCUGCUCGAGGGGCGAACGGGGGAGUAACACGUGAGUAACCUGCCCUUGACUUUGGGAUAAGUUAAGGAAACUGAGGCUAAUACCAGAUAGGAGCUCUCGCUGCAGGGUGGGGGUUGGAAGGUUUCGGCGGUUGGGGGUGGACUCGCGGAGUAUGGGCUUGUUGGUGGGGUAGUGGCUUAGCAAGCCUUUGACCGGUCGCCGGCCUGGGAGGGUGACCGGGCACAUUACUCCUGAGGUACGGCCCAGACUCCAAUGGUAGGCAGCGGUGGGGAACAUUACACAGUGGGCGGAAGCCUGAUGCGGCACCGCCGCGUGCGGGAUGACGGCCUUCGGGUAGUAAACCGCUUUCGCCUGUGACGAAGCGUUAGUGACGGUACUGGGUAAAGAAGCACCGGCUAACUACGUG
rnacentral:rRNA from 1 species